AAGGAAAACCCCCACUAUCUUUCCUCGAACUUUGGCGGGCUCGUGAAAGAUAGUAGGGGCGUUCACAGAAU
rnacentral:ncRNA from 1 species